CGCCGCAACAGCAGGUCGCCGGCGGCUGCCAACCCCCCCUCUCUCUAACCCAUCCCCCCUCUCUACCUCCCACUGUACCCUGCAAACCCUAGGUUCCCUGCCGCCAUGGAUGGUAGCUGGUCGCCGGUCUUCGUCAGCUCACCUGACGACUCCUCCCCUACCCGGAUCUGCGCGCUCAAGAGUCGUGGUCAUCUUCCCUGCCCGCACCUCUACCCCUGGCCACGCGCACUUCCUGGGGGCGGCUCGACUGGGCCUAGCUCCGCUGCGCUGCUUCCGCGGCGUCAUCUUUGACAAGGACAAUACACUCAUGCCCCUGUGUUCUCGCCGCCACGUUCGACCAGUGCCACACAGUGUUCUCGUCCGGCGCCGUCGCCAUCUACAACAACUUCACAGGGAUGAAGGAGUACGAUCUGGAUGGUGUGGAUGCGACGAGGUGAGGCGGCCAUGGAGGGUGUUCAUGUGAUCAGGCAUGACAAGUGCAGACUCACUGUCACACGACCAAUAGUCUUAAUAGUUCAUACAAUCAUAACUGAUCAUACUAAUUUGGUUCGAUUUAUUGGUUAAUCCACAUUAAUUCUGGUAUUGUGUGGAAAUGGGUUUGUUCAUGGUAAUGACUUAAUGGGUACAUUGCAAACUGUAGGAGUCUGAUAUUUGCAUUAUUUAUGGAACUUGUUAAUAUCUUCUGCAAUAUAGAUUUCAUCAUUAACCCACUGUUUUGCCUCGUUACUUUGUUCGAUAGUUUCAUUUUGUAUGGAGAUAUUGGGCACUGAAAUUCACCUCACAAUUUGUUUAACGUUUCUUCUGUAAUUGGAUUUAACUAUAUGUAGAGAAUAUAAUGCAUCUAUGCAUUCUUUUUCACAUCAUCAUAAGCAUUUCAGUACUUUGCAAUAGGCAUUUUUGUCAAAAUAAGGAAGCAUUUUCAGUACUUUACUAUAGAGAAUUAUAUCAAUUACUAGAAGCAUUUU